CGAAGGUGGUGGAAUUGGUGGAUGCGCUGGUUUUUGGUACCAGUGAGUAACAUCGUGGGGGUUCGAGUCCCCCCAUUCGCA
rnacentral:tRNA from 1 species